GUUGAUAUCCAGUGAUUGGUGAUUCCAGAGGCUUCAGCAGCCUUGUCAGUGGCUUCCUAGGGAAAGGAAUGAAGGCAGAGAUAGUCUCAGAUAGAUCCUAGAUAGAUCCAGGUUCCCACGUCCCAGUGCAGCCACCCACACAGCAGGCACUCACUUCUCCAGAGUGAAUGCUCACUUACAGCUAGGACUGACAGGGAGGCAGGAAUCACAGGGCAAAGCCAAAAUCCAAGUGCUGCAUGCACUGCUCGUCUACCUGGUUUCCAACUAAUAAUCCAUCACAUCCCAGUAGAGGGGAACAUCACCCAGGAGUGCAAAGCUGUUGGCGUAGCAGCCAUCUGAGACUGACUCUGAAAGAAAGUGGAAUAGGGGAACGGCAGCAUCCGAAGGACUGGCAGUGGAGAAAUGUGCACAGUGAGAGGUCUGAGGAUGUCAGGACCAGGAACUGGGUGACACAGACCUCCCAGAGUCCAGCAGCUGAAGCAAGUGAGAAGAACACGAACUCCCAGCCAUUCAGGCCUGACAGUUUCCUGCAGUGAGAGCUCAGCACACAUCCACAGAAGCAACUCCAGUAUCUGAAAGAGAAAAAAGAAAGACCAAGCCAGAAGAAAAAGGUUGCCGAGACUUCUUUGGGGAACCGUACCGAUUCAAAGCCUCGUUUGAAAGCAGCAGAAGCAGAGACAAGCUUUCAGGAGUUGCACAGCCCUCCAUGGACUAAACCUGAAGAUAAAAAACCACCUGAAAAAAAGGAGAAAAAAUACAAUGAAUCAGUUAGUACAGCAGGAAAAAAACCUCUAAAUGCCACUAAUCGACACUGCAAAAUGCCAAUGGCUUCCAUCCUCACGUUCCGUUAGCACAAAGGCAUGAAAUGUCCCGGGUUUCUAAAGCAUGCAUUUUUCACUGUUUUAUCAACGUCUGGAAACGAGUCUAGAACAGGCCGAUUAGUACCUUACAGCAAGAAUCCAGAAUGGAUGUUUGAAGAAAUGCUUUGGAAUGCAGUCCGGGUUUGGAACUCUUGUUCUACCUUAUCAGUAAUUGUAUACUAUCAAUUACCUGCUUUGUAAGCAGCAGUCAUUCUCAAGUAUUUUCUCAGUCUGUUUUAUUUCAUGUCAUUUUGUGGCAGAUUGGGUUUUAAGAUUAAGGGGCAGUCAGUGUGUGUG